rnacentral:rRNA from 1 species
ACAUGGCUACAACAUAUCGUUAAUUCAUUGAAUCUCAUUAGAACUCCGCAGUUAAGUGUGCUUGGGCUAAAUUAGUACCAGGAUGGGUGACCAUCUGGGAAGUCCUAGUAUUUUACAUGCC